rnacentral:rRNA from 1 species
UACGAAGGGUGCAAACGUUGCUCGGAAUCAUUGGGCGUAAAGCGCGCGUAGGCGGCCCGGUAAGUCCGCUCUGAAAGUCCAAGGCUCAACCUUGGGAUGCGGGUGGAUACUGCCGGGCUAGAGUCCGGAAGAGGCGAGUGGAAUUCCUGGUGUAGCGGUGGAAUGCGCAGAUAUCUGGAGGAACACCGGUGGCGAAGGCGGCAUCCUGGACCGGCAUUGACGCUGAGGCGCGAAAGCCAGGGGAGCAAACGGG